UGUAAGAACAAAGGGUGGAGGCACUUAUAUCAGAGACCAGUUCAGUGGGAACUGGGCCCAUUGGGGCAGGGGCUGAGAACAGUGACUGGAGCCACAAAAGCAAUGCAGGAGGAAGAAUGAAUCAGCUUUGUAACCAGCUUCAUCUGACGGCUUAGAUGGCCACUAGAAGGGAAGGUGCUGUGAUUUGAACGAUGUUGUCCCCUACAACAUUCAUAUUGAAACUGAAUCCCCAAUGCCA
rnacentral:lncRNA from 1 species